rnacentral:lncRNA from 1 species
UGACCGGUGAAAUCAAUGUCGUAGAUUGGUGUACCGUCGGGAUGCAAGAUUCCCCAAUGCCUCUGUGUUCCGGAACCGGAUUUCUGGUUUUCGUUGAACAAUGAGAAAACAAAUGUCGGUAUAGGUAAAGCGGGUCUAGCUGGUGUACCGAUUGGUGGAAUUGCGGUCAUCUUCUUGAUCAAAUUCCGGUUAUACGUCGCUGCGUUGAGUAUAUUGGCUCCGGUUUCAUCGAUGUCCCCGGAAUUAGGCCACCCGGUUUCGGAGAUCGCAAUGCGGAUGUGUGGGUAACCGAGUUUGAGCAAAAAAAAAAAUGAAGAACAAGAGAUUUUGAGAUCUGGAAAACGCAGACAAAAGGUUGAAGAUGGGGGUAAAAUCGUAUUUUGUCAUUCAUUAAACUAAAAUCAGAAAAAUGAUGCAAACUUUCACAUGUAUUUGUAUCUUUUUCUAUAUAUAUAUUUGUGGAUUAUUAUUUCAUUAUUAAAAUCGUAACUAUAUAUAUAAAUAUUAGUAAAGUAUUUACUACAAGAAAACAUGUUAUUACCGACUGCAAAAACAGUCGCUAAUCAGUCACAAAACAUGUGUUUACGACUAUUUUGCGACUGAAUUGCAUAGUCGGAAUACCAUGCAUCGCUAAAAUAAUCGGUUGCUAAUCAGUCGCAAUUUACGACUAUUUUACGACUGAUUAGCGACUGAUUUGUGAUUACUGUUAUUAGUCGCAAAACAGUCACAAUUCAGUCACUAAAUAUUACCACUAAUAUGCGACUAACCUGCUUCUUCGUUUACGACUAUUCUACGACUGCUCUUAAGUUGUUAUAUGGUUGAUGUUGUAGUCGUUUUUCAGCCGUAAAAUUAAUUAAAAUAUUUUUUUAAAAAAAUUAUAAAUUUUUAAUUAAUUAUAUUUUUUUAUUAUUUAAUCAAUUAAUUUUUUUUGAUUAAUCAAUUAAAACACAAAAUAUCGUUUGUAAUUGAAUUGAUUUACAAUUGAAAUGGUUUACAAUUGAAAUCGGUUUAAUAUAAACAUAUAGCAGUAAAAUAAUUAAAUCUAACUAAAAAAACUAGAUCUAGGGUUCUUCACGCCAUUUACGGUGGGGCUUUUUCACAGCCAUUGACGGCGGGUCUCCGGAGCUUGAACAUAGGAGGCAAGCUUGAACGGUGAUGAGCCUGAGCCCGAUACGAGAAGACAGACGGUGAGCUUGUGAAGAGGUGAGGAGAGGCGGGAAGAGCUUUACCGUAGACACAACGGUGGUCGUCAUCGUCUUUAUGUAGCUUCCGCCUCCACAGCAUCUGUGUAGCUUCCGUUGUCUCUGUGUAGAUUUCAUUGUCUCUAUGUACCUUCCGUCGCCGUCUAUUAAUAGCUUGAGCAGAAGUGACGAGAAGGAUUGAGCAUAAGUGAGGUGGAAAUGAAGAGCUUGAGCUUGAAGACGAACACCGGUUUCAGUGCAGAAAGAAAGAACAGGAGAGAUAGAGCUGAGAUGGAGAGACAGAGAAGAGAAGACGAAAGAGAUAGAACAAUGAUUUCUAAGUUGAAGAUGAAAGAGGAAGAAGAUUGAUUACUCGUGGAAAGGAAGAGAGAUAUGAGAGAGAUGUAGACCAUUGGAUUAAGAAUAAUCAAAGGUGGAGAUUAAAAGAUUGGUUAUCCUCGCCAAUUGGUACUCAACCAAUAGAAAAUAAAAGGAUGGAUUGCUCUUUGUUUCAGAAGAAAAGAAACACACACAAAAAAAAAAUGAAUCUAGACCAUUAGAUUUAAGCAGGUUCUUCACGCCAUUUACGGUGGGUCUUCUUCACAGCCAUUGACGGCGGGUCUCCGGAGCUUGAACAGAGGAGGCAAGCUUGAACGGUGAAGAGCUUGAGCCCGAGACGAGAAGACAGACGGUGAGCUUGUGAAGAGGUGAGGAGAGGUGGGAAGAGCUUUACCGUAGACAACGGUGGUGGUCGUCGUCUUUAUGUAGCUUCCGCCUCCACUGCAUCUGUGUAGCUUCCGUUGUCUCUGUGUAGAUUUCAUUGUCUCUAUGUACCUUCCGUCGUCGUCUAUUAAUAGCUUGAGCAGAAGUGACGAGAAGGAUUGAGCAUAAGUGAGGUGGAAAUGAAGAGCUUGAGCUUGAAGACGAACACCGGUUUCAGUGCAGAAAGAAAGAACAGGAGAGAUAGAGCUGAGAUGGAGAGACAGAGAAGAGAAGACGAAAGAGAUAGAACAAUGAUUUCUAAGUUGAAGAUGAAAGAGGAAGAAGAUUGAUUACUCGUGGAAAGGAAGAGAGAUAUGAGAGAGAUGUAAACCUUUGGAUUAAGAAUAAUCAAAGGCGGAGAUUAAAAUAUUGGUUAUCCUCGCCAAUUGGUACUCAACCAAUAGAAAAUAAAAGGAUGGAUUGCUCUUUGUUUCAGAAGAGAAGAAACACACACAAAAGAAAAUGAAUCUAGACCAUUAGAUUUAAGCCAAUUUAAGAUAAUCAACGAUUGAGAUAAUAUCAUUUAGCUAGAGUAUUGACCGAUAUAUACAAAAAGAGAAGCUUUUUAUUUAAGAGAAGAGAUUAUAGAUUAUAUUUAGUUUUAUUUUUAUUUUUAUCCUAAUUUAUAUAGAGAAGAAAUAUGAUUAAUUUGUGUAGGGUUUGAUGUUAAGUUUGAAGUUUUGGUUAGUUUUUUUUUUUAAGUUUGUGAUUUUAUGUUUGGAGUUUAGAUUAAAAGUUAUGAUAUAGGGUUUGAGGGUUAAACUUAAAGUUUGGAAUAUUAUAGUUGAAAAUAAUAAAAUUUUCUUUUCUAUUUAUAUAUAGUUUGUUUAUAAAUGGUCUAAAUUUAAAGUAUUAGACAUCAAAUUCAACAUUUGUAAAAUGUAUGUUUAAGAUUUGGUGUUCAAUUUUGAAGAUGUUAGAGUUGUUUGGUUUAGAUUUGGGUAUAAGGUAAAUUAUUAAAAACAAAAUUUAAAGCCUAAGAUUAAUUUAUAUUUUUUGGAGUUUAGUUUAAAAUUUAAUGUAUAUAGUAUAUAUGAGGUUUAUAUUUUUAUUAUAUCAUUUUUAAAAAAUAUUUAAAGUUUAAGUUUAAUUUGAAUGAUAAGAUUGAAAAGAUUAAAUUUUAUAAUGUUAUAUGUAGGUUUAAAUUUGGGGUUUAGGGUAUAGAUGUUAAGAUAAGAGUUUAGGGUAUAGAGUAUGUAGUCGCAAAAUUAGCGACUGUUUUGCGACUACAUAUUUUGAUCGGCAAUGUAGUCGGUAAUUAACAACUGUUUUGCAACUACUUAAUAUAUAUCCUGCCAAUCAGUCGUUAUUUAGCGACUGUUGCGUGCCAAUAAAUAGAGACCGGCUCGUAACAUUCUUUCCCAGGAGCCAAAGCCGCACACGUUGUGUUGCUUCGGCCACAAGCCAUCCUCAAAGCUUCCUCAAGCUCAGCCUCCUUGGCUCCUUCAACAGGUACGCACCACAUUUGACCCUUGUAAGGAACAUUGUUCGUCGGUUUAGGCAAAGGGUUAAAACCGGUUAAGGGUUUUUGACCGGUGAAAUCAAUGUCGUAGAUUGGUGUACCGUCAGGAUGCAAGAUUCCCCAAUGCCUCUGUGUUCCGGAACCGGAUUUCUGGUUUUCGUUGAACAAUGAGAAAACAAAUGUCGGUAUAGGUAAAGCGGGUCUAGCUGGUGUACCGAUUGGUGGAAUUGCGGUCAUCUUCUUGAUCAAAUUCCGGUUAUACGUCGCUGCGUUGAGUAUAUUGGCUCCGGUUUCAUCGAUGUCCCCGGAAUUAGGCCACCCGGUUUCGGAGAUCGCAAUGCGGAUGUGUGGGUAACCGAGUUUGGUCAUGGCCAAGAUAACCGAAUCCAACAUUUGGUCUACGAGAUUAUGGUAAACCAAACCGGUACGAGGAUCGGUAUAAGUUGAAUUCCCUUGGAAGAGAGCAAAAUCCAAACUGGUAUUCAUAGGGUUUCUCAACCAACGGUAAUAAGGUUGAAGAUUGAUGAAGAAGUAAGAGUUUGUUCCGUUGAGAAACUUCAGCAACGGCAACAUCAACGGUCCGGCUAUAUCUUCCCGGAACGUUGAGUUCGACGGUGGAAACGUCGACCGGAGAGAAUCCAUAGGUAAAGGUGUACCGACUUUGAUGUUGUGAAUGCCAUGAGCUCUGAGAGCGUUCACGAUUUUGCGCAUCGCCGGUACGAGAUUGGCCGUUAUGUUCCUGUCUUGGACGGAGAGGAUUUCGUUUCCGACAAGGACAAAUCGGAUUUGGGUUUGCGGAUAGUAAGGGAGGAUAUUUGUUUUGACCCAAUCUUCAGCUGUGGUUUGGUUGGUGCCGAGGGAAGUGAUCUGGUGGUUAUGGACGGUUAUGGAGACGUAGAGAUUGGUAUGAGAGAGGAGUGUUAGAGUCUCUGGAUCCGCGUCGUAGAGCUUGACAUGACCAGCUUUGAUGGAUUUGAUGAAAUUGAUUGAUUGGUAAGGUGAUGGGAGGUCUUUUCCUUGUCUACCAUAGUUGAUACCAAUCUUGCUUGCCAAUGCUAUCAUUAGUUUCCUCUCCAUGUACCUGUGUCGAUGCUGGAAUCGAGCCGCGGAGCAACAUGAACCUGUAAAACCAAGAAAAUUAUGUUCAUUAUUGGAGGAAAAAAAACGGGAAAAUGUAUAACAUAUUUUAAUUUAUUGAUGAAGAAGAUGACUUACUUGAAAAGUAGAUGAGAGUGAAGAGAAAGAAAGCAACACCAGACAUGACUUUCUGUGUUUGGUUCGCAAUGUGUUAGUGGUGAUCAGAUUCUGAUUUGAGUGGGAAUUGUGUGGAACUUGCAUCGACGUAUUUAAGUAGGAGUAGGGUGUAAGUUUAGUGUGAAGGAAGCUUAUAGAUUAAUAUUGAGUCAUGCAAGAAUAGCUUCUUUUUGGCUUUUGGUUUCUUCUGAAAUUGUAGCAUAGCUCAGUUCUUUUGUGUUAAAAGAUUGUUGGUUGGAUGGUUCAAAUUGAACCAAGACAAUCUUUAUCCAAAUUUCUCACUUUUAUACAUGUUGUCAAUUGUACAAAAAUAAAAAUCAAUACAAUGGCAACUGUAGAUUGAAAAAGAUAUAUUAAUAAUAGUUUUGAGUUGUGAAGACCUUUUUUGUUUAGUAGAUUGAGUUGGGAAGACCCCUGUUCAAAAACGCGUCCGCCUGGCCGUUUACUCGCCCGAUUAAAUGGUGAUCGGAAAGCUACCGUGGCGAGGAGGAGGUAAUCGGUGGUUCUAGGCGCUGAAACUAAAAAACUUUGAAAAUCGAAAUUUCAAGAGCUAAAUCGGCGUCUAUCUCAUGAAUCUAUUAUAUUUAGGUGAAAUUCACAAGAAUCUGUUGUGAAAACUAUGAAAUCGUGCAAAAAAAAAAAUGAAGAACAAGAGAUUUUGAGAUCUGGAAAACGCAGACAAAAGGUUGAAGAUGGGGGUAAAAUCGUAUUUUGUCAUUCAUUAAACUAAAAUCAGAAAAAUGAUGCAAACUUUCACAUGUAUUUGUAUCUUUUUCUAUAUAUAUAUUUGUGGAUUAUUAUUUCAUUAUUAAAAUCGUAACUAUAUAUAUAAAUAUUAGUAAAGUAUUUACUACAAGAAAACAUGUUAUUACCGACUGCAAAAACAGUCGCUAAUCAGUCACAAAACAUGUGUUUACGACUAUUUUGCGACUGAAUUGCAUAGUCGGAAUACCAUGCAUCGCUAAAAUAAUCGGUUGCUAAUCAGUCGCAAUUUACGACUAUUUUACGACUGAUUAGCGACUGAUUUGUGAUUACUGUUAUUAGUCGCAAAACAGUCACAAUUCAGUCACUAAAUAUUACCACUAAUAUGCGACUAACCUGCUUCUUCGUUUACGACUAUUCUACGACUGCUCUUAAGUUGUUAUAUGGUUGAUGUUGUAGUCGUUUUUCAGCCGUAAAAUUAAUUAAAAUAUUUUUUUAAAAAAAUUAUAAAUUUUUAAUUAAUUAUAUUUUUUUAUUAUUUAAUCAAUUAAUUUUUUUUGAUUAAUCAAUUAAAACACAAAAUAUCGUUUGUAAUUGAAUUGAUUUACAAUUGAAAUGGUUUACAAUUGAAAUCGGUUUAAUAUAAACAUAUAGCAGUAAAAUAAUUAAAUCUAACUAAAAAAACUAGAUCUAGGGUUCUUCACGCCAUUUACGGUGGGGCUUUUUCACAGCCAUUGACGGCGGGUCUCCGGAGCUUGAACAUAGGAGGCAAGCUUGAACGGUGAUGAGCCUGAGCCCGAUACGAGAAGACAGACGGUGAGCUUGUGAAGAGGUGAGGAGAGGCGGGAAGAGCUUUACCGUAGACACAACGGUGGUCGUCAUCGUCUUUAUGUAGCUUCCGCCUCCACAGCAUCUGUGUAGCUUCCGUUGUCUCUGUGUAGAUUUCAUUGUCUCUAUGUACCUUCCGUCGCCGUCUAUUAAUAGCUUGAGCAGAAGUGACGAGAAGGAUUGAGCAUAAGUGAGGUGGAAAUGAAGAGCUUGAGCUUGAAGACGAACACCGGUUUCAGUGCAGAAAGAAAGAACAGGAGAGAUAGAGCUGAGAUGGAGAGACAGAGAAGAGAAGACGAAAGAGAGAGAACAAUGAUUUCUAAGUUGAAGAUGAAAGAGGAAGAAGAUUGAUUACUCGUGAAAAAGAAGACAGAUAUGAGAGAGAUGUAGACCAUUGGAUUAAGAAUAAUCAAAGGCGGAGAUUAAAAUAUUGGUUAUCCUCGCCAAUUGGUACUCAACCAAUAGAAAAUAAAAGGAUGGAUUGCUCUUUGUUUCAGAAGAGAAGAAACACACACAAAAGAAAAUGAAUCUAGACCAUUAGAUUUAAGCCAAUUUAAGAUAAUCAACGAUUGAGAUAAUAUCAUUUAGCUAGAGUAUUGACCGAUAUAUACAAAAAGAGAAGCUUUUUAUUUAAGAGAAGAGAUUAUAGAUUAUAUUUAGUUUUAUUUUUAUUUUUAUCCUAAUUUAUAUAGAGAAGAAAUAUGAUUAAUUUGUGUAGGGUUUGAUGUUAAGUUUGAAGUUUUGGUUAGUUUUUUUUUUUAAGUUUGUGAUUUUAUGUUUGGAGUUUAGGUUAAAAGUUAUGAUAUAGGGUUUGAGGGUUAAAAUUAAAGUUUGGAAUAUUAUAGUUGAAAAUAAUAAAAUUUUCUUUUCUAUUUCUAUAUAGUUUGUUUAUAAAUGGUCUAAAUUUAAAGUAUUAGAUAUCAAAUUUAAAAUUUGUAAAAUGUAUGUUUAAGAUUUGGUGUUCAAUUUUGAAGAUGUUAGAGUUGUUUGGUUUAGAUUUGGGUAUAAGGUAAAUUAUUAAAAACAAAAUUUAAAGCCUAAGAUUAAUUUAUAGUAUUUGGAGUUUAGUUUAAAAUUUAAUGUAUAUAGUAUAUAUGAGGUUUAUAUUUUUAUUAUAUCUUUUUUAAAAAAUAUUGAAAGUUUAAGUUUAAUUUAAAUGAUAAGAUUGAAAAGAUUAAAUUUUAUAAUGUUAUAUGUAGGUUUAAAUUUGGGGUUUAGGGUAUAGAUGUUAAGAUAAGAGUUUAGGGUAUAGAGUAUGUAGUCGCAAAAUUAGCGACUGUUUUGCGACUACAUAUUUUGAUCGGCAAUGUAGUCGGUAAUUAACAACUGUUUUGCAACUACUUAAUAUAUAUCCUGCCAAUCAGUCGUUAUUUAGCGACUGUUUUGCGACUAUAGAUGCCGACCAAAGUAUGUAGUCGCACAACAGUCGCUAAACAACGACUGAUUUGCGACUGAUUUGUUUAGUCGCAAAAUAACGACUGAUUUGCGAUUGAUUUGUUUAGUCUCAAAUAAGUCGUAAAACAGUCGCAAUCCAGUCGCAAUAUUUUGCGACUACAUAAUCAGUCGCAACAUGCAGUCGGUAAUUUCAUGCUUUCUUGUAGUGAUUAUUUUAUCGUCAUAUCCAAAGAUAUUGUAAGAUUUCACAAAUUUAGAAAGUUUUUAAAAAAUUAAACUUUUCGCUUCGUAGAUUUAUAUUAUCGAGUAAAUAAUUAAACAUUUAGUUUUUGUUUAAUUUUUAAAAUAAACCAUAUAGUUUAAAAUUUGUUUUCAUUGGUUUAAGGUAGUAAAGAUUAAUCAUUAUUAGAUGAUAUUAUUUUUGUUAUUUAAAAAAAAUCUUUAUAAUUUUAAAAUUUAACAUCGACAAAUAUUUAAAUAAUUAACAUAUGGAGGUAUAGUAUUACAAUAUUAAAUUAUAUCUAUUUAAUUUAUAUUAUCUAUAAAUCCAAUAGAUCAUCUAUUGUUUAAAUCUAAUUAUUGAUAGCCCAAUAAAAAUUUCUUGUAGGCCCAAAAUUUAAAUGAUAAGAUUAAAGAUUAAAUGUAAUAUGAAUUUUUAGGAAUAUGUCCAUUAGGUCCAUUUUUUAAAAAAAUCACACAUGAAUCAAAGUUGUGACUUCUGUUUUAAUAUAUAAGAUGAAAGUCCUAGACAAGAGCAAUGCAAUAACAGGGGAAUUUUGAUAGAUGGGAAGUAUAUGAAUGUUGGUGAAUGAUAUGACGAAUAGGGAGUAUAUGAUCUGAGUACAAAAAGUUUAUAAUUUUGGUGUCUAAAAUAUGGAUACCCUUCGUCUUUAUCUUCUUGUUCCUUUUAUAGGUGGUUGUCCGUGAAUUGUAAAGUCAUCUGCAUCGGUAGAAAAAGUUUCAGUUUCUCAAAAAAAUUAUUUUUUUUUUUUAUUUUUCAAAAUCAUUUGAACCAUUAAUAAAGAGACAGUUGCAGAACCAACCAAUCAAAAAUAUUUUUAUCACAAAUCCAUUCUUCUUUUUUACUUUCUCUUUUUUCCUUCUGAAAUUUUUUAUAUUUUUAUAUUUGCUAGAAAUGGUGGAAGAACUUUCACUCCGCAUGCCCUAUCGGAAGAUAUAUGGUGUCUAUUUAGCACCAUCAAUGCCUCUUUAAUGAUUUGAUCAAAAAACAAUGAUCUGAUCUCCUUUAUGUUUUUGGUUGACCGGUUAUUUUUGCGUUGACUUUCUCCAUAACCUAUAAAGGCUUCGAAUGGUAUGCAGAUCAAAAAUAUGCAGAUCAAACACAAAAUGCAGAUCAAGCAGAAUAAAUGCAGAUCAAGCAGAAUAAAUGCAAAACAAAUACAGUUCUAACUGUUUAAACUAAUUUACGAAUUAGCAUAUUUGACUAAAUGUUAAAAAUAAUUUUGUAAGCUAAAUAUCUAAAAUACAAAUACAAACGAAUAUCUACUUGUACAGAACAUGUUAAUUUUUAUUGUGUAUUACUGAAUAUUAAUUUUUAACUUAUUUCUAAUAAAUUAAAGUUUUCAUAAUUUAUUUAAAAACAAAUAACAAUGUACCUUGAUUUUUAUAUUUUAUUGGAUAUACUUUGAUUUUUUUUUAAUAUUAGAAAAAAUAGUGUGCAUAAAAUCAUUCUACAGAAAAAUUAUAUAAAUUUUGAACAGGACUGGGCAAAAUAUCUGUAAAUUUUGAUUCGAUUCAUUAUCCAUUUCGAUUCGAACCGAAAAGUAGAGAUAUCCGUAAGAAACAAAGUAAAUCACAAAUAUUAAUAUUAAUAUUUUUAAGAACAAAUAUCUUGUCUGAUCCGUUAUAUGCAUAUAUACAUAUAUUUAAGGAAUUAUACAUAAGUUAUAUAAAUAUUAUAUUUUAUAUAAGUUUUACAGUAUUUUAUUUACUGAAUGGUUAAUUAUUCAUUAGAAUUUUAAAAAGUAAAUAAAUUUUUAUUUUAUAAUAAAAUAUUAUUAUUUUAUAUUAUUUUUCAAUUGUUAUUUAUUUUAUAAUUUUUAUUUAUUUUACGGAUAUAAUAGGAUAUCCGGUCAAAAUCUACAAUUUUCCGGAUAUCCGGAACAUAUAAUAUCAUGAUGGGCACAGAUUGAAUCCGAACAAAUAAUUGAUUAUUCUGAAGAAACGGAUCGGAUCACGAAUAUUUCUAAAAACCCGGAUAUCCGAUUUAUGUCCACCCUUAUUUCUGAAUAUGUAAAUUAUAUAUAUACAAGUGUUUAUCAAAUUUAAUAAUAUUUAAUAUACAUAUAUAUCAUUUUUAAAUAUUUGCAUAAGAAAAUUCAUCUUAAAUUUGUUAUAAAAAACAAAAAAAAACUUACACUUAAAGAGGAAUUGUAAUUUGUGAAGGAAAGAAAUAAUGUAAUAUAAAAUAUUGAUAAGUAAAGGAGAAAAGGUAGUCGUUUAAAAAAAAAAUCAAAGAAAACUUUUCAUUGGGCUCCUGUAUUCGACCAGUCCACUUUUCCCUAUUACAUGCGGAUCAGUUUUUUUGUCACAUAAAUUUUGUUGCAUGCAGUUUUCUUAAUUUUUUAAUACUAUAAUUUCUUCUGCACUUUUAAUGGUGAUUGGAAAGUGCAUAUCAAUCUGCAUAUUAUUUUUUCCUGCGUUUGUACUGCAUUCAUACUGCACUGCAUUCAAACCCAAAGAGACUUCGUUCUUCUUUGAUUUGUUAUUUUAUUAAUGAGUCUUUUGAUUUGGGACAGAUUUUUGAACCGGGUUUGAAGUGGGAUAGAUGACUGGAUGGCAUUAUGGUUAUUAUGAACCGUUUAAUUUUUGUACUUUACAUGUUUUUAUUUGAAAACAAAAAAUAAAUUGAAAUAUUUAUCCAAUGAAAACAAAAAGUGAAAAGGGAAUUUCCUUUUUCUUUGACCAAACUAAGCCGGAGAAGGAAAACACCAAAACUGAGCAGGAGCAGGAAAAAAAACCUAAAAAAUUCUCUCUGUAUAAAGAGAUUAUAAUUUGCUUUUACAAAAACAAAAAUUUCUCUCGAGGCUCCUUGGUUUUGAAAAAAAGCUUGAAACAUGAGAAUCCUCCGCAGGGAUUUUGUUCGUGAUGGACCAGGAAGCGCUAAACUGAUGGCGGAGGACUCGGAUGAUCUCUGGUUUACUUAUAACUUAAUUGGCCCCGGCGAUAGUGUAAUGGCUGUCACAUCGAGAAAGGUUCUGAGAGAGAGAGGAAAUUCUAAACGUGUAGACUCUGAACGUGUUGACUCUAAACGUGAAGACUCUGACUCUGAUCAACGUGUUGACUCCAAAAAACGUGUAGGCUCUAAAAAACGUGGUGACUCUAAAAAACGUUUAGACGCUGAGCUUGACGACUCUAAACCUCUAGUGUCUGAACGUCUGACACUGAAGCUAGAAGUACAAGUUGAGGAGGUAAACUAUGACAAAGACGGUGGUGUUUUGCGCAUACUUGGGACGAAUAUCCUUGAGAACGAGCACGUACCGCUUGGUGCAUACCAUAGUUUGGAGCUCGUGCUGAAACGACGUUUUCUAUUGAGGAAAAAAAUAUGGGACUCAUUGGCUAUUGAUACACUCAACCAGGCAAAACAUCGUAUCUCCAGUGAUGAUUUAGCUGUAGUUCUAAUGCAAGAAGGACAUGCACAAAUCUUCCUUGUCGGAAAAAGUGUGGGUGCACCAAUAGAAACAUCAAUUCCUAAUCGUAAGCAUGCUGGUUACGAGGCUGCUUUGAAGAAAUUCUUUGAGAACGUUGUGCGUGCCUUUGUGAAACACGUUGACUUCAGUGUCGUUCGGUGUGUAGUGAUCGCAAGUCCUGGCUUUACAAAGGAUCAGUUUCAUCGCCACUUGUUGUUGGAAGCAGAGAGAAGACAGUUGAAACCUAUUACUGAGAACAAAUCACGUAUACUUCUGGUGCAUGCAAACUCCGGAUAUAGACAUAGCCUUGGAGAGGUUCUGUGUGACCCCAAAGUGAUGAAGAUGAUCCAAGAUACAAAAGCAUCGAAAGAGGUGAGCGCUUUCAGGGAUUUCUUCACCAUGUUCGAAAAGGAUCCAUAUCGGGCAUGCUACGGACCGAAGCAUGUGGAGUUUGCUCAUGAACAAAAGGCAAUCCAAACACUUCUCAUUACAGAUGAGCUGUUUAAAAAUUCUGACGUGAAAGAAAGGAAGAAAUAUGUGGAUUUUGUGGAGUCGGUGAAAAAAUUAGGAGGAGAGGCUUUUAUAUUUUCUUCGAUGCAUGUUUCAGGUGAACAACUGGCAAUGCAUACUGGAAUUGCAGCUCUUCUCAGGUUCCCUUUACCAGGUCUCGAUGACGUUGAGAUGUAAAGAUAUUCUCGAUUUUAGAAAACAAUAGGCCUAGUUAUAGUACUAGAAUAAGGGAGUUUGAUCUAGCUCGAUUUUUUAUUUAUUCUGUUUUACAAAAUUAGAUAUUAUAUUGAAACCGUUUCUGUUAUGGCUUAAAUUGAUUUGAAUAUGAUUCAUUCAGUUCUUGAGUUCCAAAUGUUUUCUCAUUUUGUGGACCAACAGUGCUUAGAGAUUCAAAGAUUUGUUUACUUAAUCAUACAAUCUCCACAUGAUAUAUAACCAUGUUUUGGUUUCACUGGGACGAUAUUGUUGAAAAAUAUAUUUUGAAAAUUAUCUAGUUUACAUAUAGCUACACCACUUUAUAAUACUAUUUAACUAAAUCAUAUAAGUAUACUGGUUACUGGAAAUAACGUUUAUAAUAAAAUCAAACUAUAUUCCUUAUUUCAGUUUGGUGUAGGUCAGUUUAAUCAGAUUUUUGUCAUAUUAAAAAAUUUAAACACUAAAACCAAAAAAAAAGGAUAAACGGUAGGGCAAAUCUCCAAAAUAGCACAUUUCUAAGUUUAUGUCACAAAAAUAGCCCUCAAAAACUAAAAUGACAAAAAAUAGCAAUUUAUAUUUUGAAAAAUUUAAAUUUUUUUUAUUUUUCAAAAUUUGAAAUCUUAUCCCAAAACCCCACUCCCCAGCUCUAACCCUUAAAACCUAAAUUCUAAACCCUAAAACCUAAAUUCUAAACCCUAAACCCUAAAUCCUAAACCCUAAACCCUAAACCCUAAAUCCAAAACCCCACCUUUUAACUCUAAACCCUAAACCCUAAACCCCACCCCUAAACUCUAAACCCUAAACCCUAAACUCUAAACUCUAAACCCUAAACUCUAAACCCUAAACCCUAAACCCUAAACCCUAAACCUUAAACCCUAAACCCUAAACCCUAAACCCUAAACUCCACUCCUUAACUCUAAACCCUAAUGUCUAAAUUAAUUUACCAUUGGGGUAUAAGUGUAUAUUUAUCUAUUUUGGUAAAAUAUUAAGUGCUAUUUUGGUCAUUUUUAUUUUUAGAGCCUAUAUUUGUGACAAAAACUUUUUUUUGUGUUAUUCUUGUCAUUUUCUCUGAACGGAAACCUUUUGACAAAAAAAAAAAAAGAGGAUAUACGGAAACCUACAAAUAAGUGGUGGAUGGCAUUGGACUUUGUUUUGGAAAAUAAUAUGAGAGACACAUUUGCGUCUUAAAAUAAACCUAAUAUGUCUUAGAACUGUUUUUACUUUCAUUUUCCUAUUGCUACUUGGUUUAAGAGCACCAACCGACUCAUAAUGGGUUUAGAAAGUCCAAAUUCUAUUACAAAAAAGAAACUCCAAAACCAAAACCAACUAAGAUCACCAUUAACCCUAGCACCCGUAAUAUAGUUUUUAAUCACUUUUUUAGUAAUAAAUGGGUGUUAAGCACUUAAUUUAAUAAACCUCUAAAUUGUUGUCCUCCGAUGCAAGUAUCUUAUUUAGGGGUUCUUAAAAAAAAAAUUAAACAUUGAAACACAAAACUUUUCAAGCACACUCUACAAGAGUUCACAAGAAUACAAGUAAGACCAUCGUAGUCAUGACAAGAGACAUGAAUCAUAAAGAGUAGAAGUAUUUCGAGACACAAAACAUUAAGAUAAGAAGUGGAUACCUUGUUGAUCCUGAGCUUGAACAAGACCAACAAUAGCAAAAGCUCCUAGUACCAGCAACAAUAACGCCUUGAACAAGACCAAUCCUGAGCUUGAACAAGACCAAGCAACAAUAACGGCUUGAACAAGACCAAGUUGAUCAGUCUCUCGAUGUAAAAGUCUCAGCAGCACUGUAUUGUGUAAUUACUGCUUCAUAAAAGUUUUUGUCCUCAAGCCAUUUCGUCCACACUUUUCUUCUAAUAAGAGCUUCCGCAGGUUCACUACCUGAUAAUGUACCAGACACUAGAUGGUUGUUGAAUGACCUACUGCAAGAGGAUAAACGACCACAAUAAUUAGGUAGAGAGUGUUAAUUUAAAAACUUGAUCCCUAUCACAUUUGUGUUUCAAACAAAAUCAUGCCUCUUGAUGCGGCCAUCAGAUCAGCAACUGAACCAGAGGUCAACCCAAAGCCCUACUUAACCAGCCAAGGCGCCAGCCAGGACAUACGUUCACUAAAAGCGCCAUAUCUUACAAACCAGGAGGGUUUAAAUGAUGAGGAUAAUUUUUAUGGAUUCUACACUCAAGAGGGAGUCCAGGCCAACUGGAAUCGGCCCAAAAUAUUUAGGGAUAAAGAAGUUAUGAAUUUUACAAUUCAGAGGUUUUUCAGCCUGUCCAUCUGCGAGUAUGCGACUUUAGAAAAGGAUUCAAGCCCAAAGAAGAAGAGGCCUGAACCAAAACCGAUCAUAGGAGUCAAGAGGAGUUUAUUAACUUUACAUAAAGCCCAAGAUCUCGAGAAAUGGCCAAGGAAAUUGGAAGAUAUGAUCAAUUUCCCAAAACCGGCCAAACCAGCUCUACACUUGCCUUAUUUGGAAGAUUCGGGAUUCACAUCAAACCAACCUCAAGAAUGGCAGCCAGGAGACCUUCUAAGUCAUUCAGAGGCACUCCACAACAUCCUAGGAAGCACCAUGCCACGCUGGAUCAGGUGGAUCCCAAUUAAACCAAAAGAUCAAGCCGGUUUGCAUCAAUUGGCCAAACCGAUAUUAUUUAAGGAAUGUCUUCUACUCCUUCAGUUUGGUUCGACCCAAACGUAUCUAUGGAAGCCAGGACAUAAUAUAAACCAUCCAGAAGACAUCCAAGAAGUCCUCAGCUGCACCAGCACCCAGGAGAUCAGGAGGAUCUCUCUUCCCAUCAACCUUCCAUAUUUGGCAGCAACUACACUAAAUGCUUUGAAGAAGUCUCUACAGAUAUUUAUUCAAGACCAACGGCCAUAUUCUCCAUCAAGGCAACUCAGAGACAUGUCAGGAAGACUUCUUGACCGUGGCUACAUCCAGAAGCUGUCCAGAUACAAGAUCAUCCAAGAUUCCUUUUUGAAGGCACAAAUCGAGCUAACGGCUAGUUUCCAUGGAGCCAUCAAAACCUUCUCAUCCAAGACUUUUAUUUCGAUUUAUUUUCUUUCCUUAUGUCAUUUUCAGACUGUUAGAGAGUCUUUUUUCAAGCCUAUAAAGCUCUAGUCUUUGUUUCAUUGUAGAUCACCCCAUUUUUAAAGUAAUAAGAAUUAUUCAGUUUUUCUAGUUUUCUUAAAACUAUUGAGUUUGUGUGAAGUAACUCCAAAGCACCUUGACUUAUCAAGGCUCCUUUCCAUAGAGUCUUGUGGCGUCCUCAAUCCCCCAUCCUUCCAUUCCAAUUCGUUUGCCAAGCUUGAGAGUGAUACACAUCCAGCAAGCAAAGCACCAUCUCAAUCCACUUCAAUUUUCAACUGAUUAGGCUGAGAGUGUCACACGACCAGCAGCCUAAUUCCAUCAUAUCUAUCUUUAUUUAUCUUGUUUUAUCAUAUUAGAAAUCAUAUCUCAUUUGUUUUUGAAUUUGUUUUCAGGAUCAUAACUUGCAUUCCAUCAUAUCGCCCAUCCGAUCAUAUCUUUGGUCGAUCCAUCAAGCUUCCAUCAACCAUUUUGCCAUCCCUGAUUUCCAGCCUGCAACAUUUGGUAUCAGAGCUCAAGCUCCUGAAUCAGGUCCAUCUAUCCUUGCAUCAUUCAUAUUUGCUUGCAUUUAUUUUUUCAUUCAUAAACCAAAAAAAAAAAUCCAUAAAAACAGUUUUUGCAUUGUUAUUGUUCUUAAGAAAAGAAAACAAAAGAGAAUAAUUUUCUUGCAUUUGAUUCACGAAAUUAGUUUGAAAUUAUUGUCUAGUUGUUUGCAUUCAUUCCCCAGCUCCACUUGCCAUUUUUAGAUUUUGUGCAUUCAUUUUAGAAAAGUCAAAAAAAAAAAAAUUCUGCAUUCCAUAUUUGUUUCUUGUUUUGAUCUUGCAUAAAAAUAAAAAAAUAAAAAGGCAUAGCAUUUUAUUAAAUUUCGUGCAUACCAUAUUUGUUUCAAAAGUUUGUUAUUGGCAUUCAAAAAAAAAAUUAUUCAGCUUAGUUUAUAUCAUUUUGGGUUCAAGCAUACAUAUUUGUUUCCAUUUUCGGUUACUUGCAUAAGAAAACUCAAAAAAAAAAAAAAAAUUCAUCAUUGUUAGUUUAAUUUCCAUAUUUUCUUUCCAUUUGUGUUUCUUAUCAUAUCAUAUAGUUUAAUUUUGAGUUUACAUUCAGAAAACCAAAAUAAAAAUUAUUUAUUGCAUAGUUAUUUUAUAUCGGUUCAUAUUUACAUAUUUUAUCGGUUUAGUUAAAUUGCAUCAUUGCAUUUGUCUUAUUUUGGUUCUACCAAAACUUCCAAUACUUUCACUUGCUCUUUGAGAUUGUUUUCAGGAAGCAAUGGAAGAGGAGGGACAGGGCCAAAACCUAAAGGCCACAUUGAGCCAACAGUCCGUAGCUCUACAAAAGCUCCAAAUUAAGAUUGCUCAACUGGAGAAAAGAAAUCAGGCACAAGGCCAACGACCCCAGCAAGGAAAAACAAGAUGUGGAGAUGCACCAGGGGCUAUAUAUGUCGAGCCCAAGCCACCAGAUCCUUCAAGGAUCAAUCAGACUCCAACUUCUAAUACCCACAACCCUUUUGUUGUUAAUUCUCGGUUUGAUUAUAACUCUUUUGCUGAUAAAAUUGAACUCUUUAAAUUUUCAGUAAAAAGAGGUUAUCUUAGAUGGGAGAGGAACCUUGAUGAAUGGUUUCACUUCAACAACAUCCUGAGGAAAGAAAGGCUAGCUUAUGCUAUUGAUCAACUUAGAGAAGAAGCCUUUAAAUGGUGGGUACAAGAAGAAGAUGAUAGGCGGUUUUACAAUGAGCCAACUAUCAAAACGUGGAGAGCUCUUAAGGAAGUCAUGAGGGAUAGAUUUGCACCAGAGUUUACAAGUUCUGAAAUCCAAGAACUAUUCCCAAGGAGGUAUCUAACUCAUGGUUUCAAAGAAGCAAGAAAAAUUGUGGCACAAGAAGGUCAAAGAGUCUUGCCUCAACAAGACUACUUUCAGCCAAACCAAGGGCACGCCAUUGUACACUGCUUAGACCAGAAGAGUGACAUCCCAGAGGCCAUGAAGAUGAGUAAAAUUGUCGGCCAAAACACUUUGAUCAGGUCCAAAGAAAAACAGGAGCAUGCUACUAUGCAAGUAAAGGCUAAGGUAAGUCCUAUACUUGAUGAUAUUGUUCAUAAAUCAUCUACCACAUGUAUGAUGCACUUGUCUUUGUCCAAG